UACGUAGGGUGCAAGCGUUGUCCGGAAUUAUUGGGCGUAAAGCGCGCGUAGGCGGUCUUUCAAGUCAGGAGUGAAAGCCCCGGGCUCAACCCGGGAAUAGCUCUUGAUACUGUUGGACUUGAGUCCGGGAGAGGAUAGUGGAAUUCCCAGUGUAGAGGUGAAAUUCGUAGAUAUUGGGAAGAACACCAGUGGCGAAGGCGGCUAUCUGGACCGGUACUGACGCUGAGGCGCGAAAGCGUGGGGAGCAAACAGG
rnacentral:rRNA from 1 species